GAUAAAUAGAUGGGGAGAAAUGUGAGAUCUUAAUCAAAAUAUUUCACUCCUACUUUUAAAACGCUGCUGGUUACAUUAUAGAAUAGUGUUGCACUGUAACCAUGACAACACGCAUCAAUAAGUAGUAUCCAGGAAGUACUGCAUUGGACGUGCAGGUGGCUUGGCGAUGACGUCACCGCGUAGUUAAUUACUGCCUCCCCACGGUGUACGCGCGCGACUUUCAACACCAACUCUCAGGCCUGGAACACAGUCCGCCCCGCCCACAGCCAGAAGUGAUCUGCAUAACCCCGCCUCCAUUCCCCUGAGGUUCUGACAUGAUCCUGACUGCUCCGUACUCCACACUGAGAACACCGGAGGGUCCCUCUGCAGGAAGUAGACUCCGGUUUGGGACACGCCCUUCCCGACUCACACUUACUGCAGGAAGUAAAAGCAGAGGUGAAGAUCACAGACGAGGCAAAACACAGUGAGAGAGACAGGAAGUGAGAGGUGAGACGAGCAUUAGCGCGCCGUCACUAAGAAGCGCCGAGGCUCAGGAUCCCUGAACAUGGAGGAGGAAGCCUUCAGACACUUCUUUUCGGGGUAUGUGUGUGUGUUCGUUCAUGGCACGUCCUCCUUUUCGGAUAAUUUCAAGUAGUUUUCUUUAGGGUUAGACGUAGAGGGACAUCAUGGCUGGAGAGUUACACAGGUCAGAGUGUGUGUCCGAGACCUAACUAUCACACUAAUAAGACAGACAGAGUCAUUCAUACACACGCACACACAUAGCCACGCCCACAAAAAUACAUAUAUACAUGUUAUUUUACUACAAUUCUGUUAAAUAUAUUUGUGCCCCUUGAGAGGUAAAUCAGGGAAGGAGGGAAAGAGAGUGAACACUUGCGCACUUCAUGUGCACUUCAGAACGAGACGCAGAACCUCAGAGCACCGCUUUUCACUUCAAGGCGUCGCCCCAUCCACGUAGAGACGCCGUGAUGCGCAGGCGAGGACGUCAUCAUGUCGCUCAGGCUCAGGAGACUUUCAACGAAAUAAAAACCUAAAAGUGACGAAUGUUUUCAGUGUGAAUACAUUCCAGAGUCUGAGCAAAAACAAAUGGUGUGUGUGUGCGCGCGCAUGUGUGUAGAUCUGAGGAGGAUCCGUGGACGUUCUUCCUCGGUGUUGCUUCGUUAUCAGCUCCUGGAGGAACUGGGGAUCAGGUUUGAGCUCAGCGGCAUGGCUGAAGAAGAAGAAGAAGAAGAAGAAGAUGAUGAUGAUGAUGCGAGUGCAGAAGGUUUCACAGAGGCUUCCUCUUGUCUUGUAGGAAGGAAACACUUGCUUUUUGCAGCAUGAUAAUGGACGACCUCUUGGAAUCAUGGGUAAUGUCUUGGGCUGUCGGAGUGAGCGGAUUUGCGUGUGUGUGGAGGAAGUUCUAGUAGCAUAUUUUCCACUAAAAGUCCACUAAAUAUCUCAACCUUUUAAAUUGUUAUGGAAUCAGUUUGGCUGUUGAUAAAAUGUCCACAACGUCCUGUUACGCCUCUGAGACGUGUGUGUGUGUGUGUGUGUGUGUGUGUGUGUGUGUGUGUUUAUGUGCAUAUCAACACCGUUUAAAUCCUCACAUCGUGUCUCCAUAACAUUAUUUCUAUACAGUUUCAUAAAGUCCGUAUUAAAAUGAAAUGAAACUUUAUGAUGCCUUCUAGCAUACAGACGCUGCCUUCCAGUUUUAAGCCACGCCCCUUUAGCCAAACAACUCUGACUAACAAGAUGCCACUCUGUACAAGGCAGUCUCUCUCUCACACACACACACACUCGCACUCACACUCGGCUAUACAGCCUUUCUUUGGUCUCGAUGUCAUUAUAAACACACUGAGUGUUUGAUACUGCAUCUCUACCGACAUUUCUGUAAAGAACCAUCCGGCGAUAAUUCCUCAGCUGAACAAAAAUAAAAUGGCGGGUAUAUUUUAGACAAAAAUCUGAUGUUUCCGUCAUGUUACGUGCUGAUGGAUCAGGUUUGGGCCAAACGAUGGCAAAUAGUUCAGUCUGUAUGGAGUUUAAGAAGAAACUCCAUCGCUUACUGAAAGACAUAAACCACUGUUUCAUUUAAUUCCGUGUUCGUCGCCAUUAUUUCCUUAUAAACUACGUUUCAGUCCAUUUAUUUUAUAUCUAAUCAAACUGGUGUACUGUCAUGUCCUUAUUCUCAGUCAAAGGCUUUAAUCUCAGAUCCGAACGAAAUGAAGAGGUGUAAAGGUUCGAAAACGCUGCGGACCCGUACAGAGCCUUUACAGAACACAGCGGAGAAAGUAAAGAACGCGGAACCUUCAGAAGAAUGUCUGAGGAACCCUUUUCUAAGAGUGUGUACACUGACCUGUUUGUGUAGUGCAGUAUUAGGUUUUAAACUGAAUCUUUCCUGUCCCAAAGGCAAACAGAACUUUUAAUUACAUGGUGUUUGAUGAGCGUC